AUUGAACGCUGGCGGCAUGCUUUACACAUGCAAGUCGAACGGUAACAGGGAGCUUGCUCCGCUGACGAGUGGCGAACGGGUGAGUAAUGCGUCGGAACGUGCCGAGUAGUGGGGGAUAACGCAUCGAAAGGUGUGCUAAUACCGCAUACGAACUGAGGUUGAAAGUGGGGGACCUUCGGGCCUCACGCUAUUCGAGCGGCCGACGUCUGAUUAGCUAGUUGGUGAGGUAAAGGCUCACCAAGGCGACGAUCAGUAGCGGGUCUGAGAGGAUGAUCGGCCACACUGGGACUGAGACACGGCCGAGACUCCUACGGGAGGCAGCAGUGGGGAAUUUUGGACAAUGGGCGCAAGCCUGAUCCAGCCAUGCCGCGUGUCUGAAGAAGGCCUUCGGGUUGUAAAGCACUUUCAGCGAGGAGGAAGGGGUGUGUGUUAAUAGUACACACCUUUGACGUUACUCGCAGAAGAAGCACCGGCUAACUCUGUGCCAGCAGCCGCGGUAAGAC
rnacentral:rRNA from 1 species